AGUGAACGCUGGCGGUAGGCCUAACACAUGCAAGUCGAACGGCAGCACAGUAAGAGCUUGCUCUUACGGGUGGCGAGUGGCGGACGGGUGAGGAAUACAUCGGAAUCUACUUUUUCGUGGGGGAUAACGUAGGGAAACUUACGCUAAUACCGCAUACGACCUACGGGUGAAAGCAGGGGAUCUUCGGACCUUGCGCGAUUGAAUGAGCCGAUGUCGGAUUAGCUAGUUGGCGGGGUAAAGGCCCACCAAGGCGACGAUCCGUAGCUGGUCUGAGAGGAUGAUCAGCCACACUGGAACUGAGACACGGUCCAGACUCCUACGGGAGGCAGCAGUGGGGAAUAUUGGACAAUGGGCGCAAGCCUGAUCCAGCCAUACCGGGUGGGUGAAGAAGGCCUUCGGGUUGUAAAGCCCUUUUGUUGGGAAAGAAAAGCAGCAGGUUAAUACCCCGCUGUUCUGACGGUACCAAAAGAAUAAGCACCGGCUAACUUCGU
rnacentral:rRNA from 1 species